CAUCUUUUCAACAGAGUCUGAGACAAGUAGAAGAAACCGUCAUGAAAGAGGUGUAAAGAGAGAGUGAGAAACGGGUGCGGGACUUCACUGAACAUCUGAGAGAAGCAGACUCAGGAAUGUGAUCCAUGGCAUUAGCUUAUGGAGCUCCCAAAUCCAGAGGAGAUGUCAGAUUUCUGCCAGUCCUUGCAUGCAGAUUGAGAGAUCUGAAUCAGCUCCUGUGAGCUCCCAGCCAGCAUCAACAUCUGCACGGCUUUCAUCCCUUCGUCCCCUUGUCAUGUCCCCUCCAUUGGCAUGUCACUUUCUCAUCCCAUUCUCCUGGUGGAGACGUCUUCUACUUGAUUGCUGCUUAAUGAGAAAGAUGAAGUAAUGCAACUGGAGAUGACAGCCACAGCCAGGUGGUUCUACCAGACCAAGAGCCAACUUGCAGCUACCAUGGCUGAAGUCAAUGGAAAAAGCUGAACUCCCCUGGAAGGCAAUUCAAAGCAGAAAACAAGCUUCAUGCUCUCUCUUUUCCACCCAAGGCAGGUUAGGACAAAGCCAAAGUGCCUCUUUCUGGAUAAUCCCCUCCUUGCUUUUCUUAACAUAUUUCUUUGUUGGAUUAAAUGUGGCUCAGCGUGGGAGUUGACCUGGACAACUGCUGACAAAUGAGUAUAAAAAGCUACACCUGAGUGGAACAAUUGCAGGGAAUGCUGUUGUACAGCUCUACAGGCUCGUUUGGCUCAGAGUGAAGGAGGACUGGCAGCAAAGAGUGACAGCUUUAUUUGUACACCAGUUUCAGGUGUAAACAACAACUGCUUUAUGCAAAACCUUCUGUCCAUAAAGCUCUUAUUCUGCUUAGGGAACUGCUGAGAAAUUACCAAACCCUUGUCAGGUGCAGAUGUUGUUUAUUUCUCUAAAGAUAUAUAUAUGUAUUUGCUUUUGAUGACUUACUUUUGCUACCAGCAGCUAUAACCAACAUCUGCUUGAAAUAACUCUUACGGCCUGCUUUUCUCCUCUGUGCUGUGUUGCCAUUCCUAUUGAAAUUCCAUGUAACCAUGGGCAGUGUCAGCUUGUGGCACUGGGUAGCUGUGAGCUGAGCAUGAAAAUGUGCACAAGCAAGCAACAGGCACACAUACGAUCAGGUACAACUAUAAAGCAGAAGGAGCUCUGUAUGCUGCCAGUGCAGGAGAGCACUGCUGGCACUCAGGCUGAAUGCUGAGAUGUCACCGAGGCAAGAUGCUGGCCUUCCUCCAGGAUUCCAGGAGUUUCUAGGGCUGGUGAGACCAGGAGGCUUGAUUCCCCAUGGGAAAUUUACCCCUUGUAGUAUGCUAAAUCUCCUCUACCACUGCCUCCCAAACCUCUCCUGUGCAGCUUUUGUGAAUCUCUCUAAGCCCAAAGCAAUAGCUGUAGCAGUGGACGUAUGGCACCGCAGGACUUAAUUAAUACAGAAGAGGAGUUUGUAUUUCUUUCUUGCAUGCAAAAAGGGUCACUGAAAACUAGUAAGGCCUUCUUUGCUCAACCUGAACCUAAAUCAACCAUUUAAAGUACUUGUGACCCUCUCAAAAAUGCAGCUUGCCUCCUGGGCCAUUUCCAUGAGCAUCUCACAGAGAUCUUCAUUUCCAGUGAGCAGCACUUGGCUCCUGAAACACAGAUGCAGAGCUGUUUGCAGAUCUACCUUGGAGCAAAAUGCAAGAAGCCUGGGAAAAAGGCCCUCAAGCUCUGCAGAGGUGUUCCCAAGCUUACAGGCAUUUCCAAGGGACACUGAUCCACAUCAUGCAUCUGAACGCAUCCCAGGUCCAAGAGGACCACAACAGUUAAGCUAUGCUAAGUACCAAUGUGGGUGAGGAGUGAGUGCCCCAUUCUCUUCUGUCACUUCUGCGAAGGUGGAGGUGAUCUCCAGCAGGGGAAAAUAGCACUGUAUAUCACCAUGCCCUUAAGACAAGGGAGCAGCAGACAAAGCCCUAUGUGUCUCUGAGAUUGAAGUUAAAGCACUUUACAACCUUUGGGAAACAAAUUUCAGGAUGCUGCCAGCAAAUUUUAUAGGUAGGCUUUCAAUUUUCAUUCUGUUAAUGAGAGAAUACAGGUAAAAGGGGUGUGAUUAUUCCCUCUGUUGUAAAAUAUACCAUCAAACACAUAACAUGUCCCCAAACCAGAAUGACAGGGUCUUGUGUGGACCCUUGGAGACAUCAGCAUUACCUUCUGCUUCCUGUGGCACAAAUACAGAGCUCAGCGGGAUCAAACUUUCCACUGUCCUAACAAAAAGUUAAUGCUGAAAAUGUGCCUUUUUAAAACGUUUGUAAUUGGCAGCUCCUGCCAAGUAUUAGGAGGCCAGUAAAAUCUCUCUACAUAAAUUGUGUUGUAAUUAACGUGAUUUGUUUAAUGUCACCUUGUCUGGCUGUCGGAGAAACUGUCUCAAAAUGUAAAAACACCGCAUUUUUCAGUUGAGAGAGUGGAUUCUGGCUGCACCGAGACAUUUUUAUUUCUCUCUUCUAUUUUACAGUGGCCUUUACAAAUCUCUCAGGCUGGUGAACCCAAGCAAAGUUAAUCAAGAAUUCUCUGAUGACAAAAAUCACAGCCAUAAGACACAGUAACAACAAGCAUUGCAUUUUUUCUUAAUAAAGGUAAUGUGCCUAUAAUAACAGGUGCUACAUUCAGCACAGCAAACAACACAUUAAAAACAUCCCCAUACUCUAAAAAGACUUGGCUGGUGUGCAAAUAAGCCAUUUUAGAGGAAAGCAAUUGAAAAGGGGACAGGAGAAUGAAAAGUAUUGGAAAGAAACAGAUGUCCUUUAGAGACAACUCUGGAUGUAUUAUCUUAGAGGAAACAAGACCUCUGAGGUUGUUUAGAAGCCAGGAGAGAGAGAGAAACUGAAUGUGAGGAGAGAGAGAGCUGUGUGCCUACAGGCUUUUUGGUACCAAGAUCUGGGGACUUACCGUGGUCCUGAGGGGACAUGGCAGCAGCCUGUCCAGCCAGCUCUCUUCUCUGGGCAGCAUCUUCUCUGCAAAGCCACUUUGGAGGAAUACGUCUAGUUUCAGUGACAGCUGAAGAAAUAGUAAAUAGUAGCAGCAGGGGUGUCUCUUUCCUACCUCAAGAAAUUUACAGGACCAGCAGGGUGGGGGUUGUUGUAAAAACUGGGAUUUUAUGUUUUAUAACCAGCCAUGAUCAUAUGGGUAAGCAUAUCUUUAUUAGUCAUAGAAAUAUUUAAAAGACUUUGGAUCCUGCUGAGUCCCUUGCUGUUGUCUCCUCACAUAGUGGUUAUAUGAACAGACUGAAGGAAAAGCACUCCCUCUGCUUUAACCCCUUCCUUCAGCUGCUUUCCCUCCAGAUGGGAGCAGAGACUUGUGAGUGAAGUUACGUGUUAGGGGCUGACCAACCUUCUUCGUGUCCCUCAGAACUUCUUGGUGUCCCUGUGCUGCACACCCCAGGCCAAAAUGCCAGCAGAAGUUUGCUUUGCUCCAAAGAGCUCAGUGAGACAGAUGGCAGUGACGACUUUGCCACCAGGUGUCAACGAGGAGAGUAGUAGGAAAGCAACCAGGGAAAGCAGUCACGGGGUGCUGAUAAGACUGGAGUAAUUAUUACGAGGAAGCCCAAACUCAAACAUAAUCCCUCUAUUUUCCAUCAGUGCCCAGAAAAAGUACACGAGGUCUUACAUCUACCUGGGUGCAGCAACCUGAUAAAAUGACAGUAGCCAUCCCCAUCCUGUGAAUGUCAUCGGGAGCUGUAGAAACAUAAAGAAGAGAAACACAAAAGCAGGAGCCUUUUCAAGCCUGAGGUAUGCCUCAGGGUGAGAAAGGUGCAGGAGGAGCACUGAAUGCCCAGCUCAACACCAGCAUUUUUCAACCUUAAUCUUUCUUCCAAAUGUUCUACUUUUAUUCCAACUAAUUGAACGAACAUCUUAAAAUUCACAACAUAAACUAAAUCUGAUUAAAUCUAGCUUGACUCGUAUGAUAUAGCACUGCAGCUAGAAUGCAGCUGGAAAAAAUGCAUUAUGCUAGGACAAAUAAGUAUGGUUAACUUCAAUAAGAGCAGAGGUAAAUUGCUUUUUGCGUGAGAUGCGCAAUUUUACCUUAGUGCAGCUUUAAUCAAAGUAAAAUAUUAUAGGUGGAGGGGAAAAAAACCUCACAAUGUAACAUUUUCUCUACUAACCACUCAGUGAAACUCAAGUUCAAGCUACUAAAUAAAGUCAGGUCUGUACCUUAGCUUUCCUUGGUUAGCAUGUAUACCUUUAAGACAGUAUCCAGCAAUAAAUUAUACCAGAUGCAGAUAGUCAAUGCCCAUAAAACCUAUCCAUCAGAAAUUUAUCUCCACUGAAACUUUAAUUGGAAGGGGAAGAAUGAAAUUAAGUACAGAUAUUUAAAUGUAGUCCGUCGUCUUACAGCAGUGCUUUCACAGCCAAGUGGAAAACAAAGUAAAUUAAGCAUAGCUAUUAAACAGGAUAGGAAGUAUUAGUUUUGCACUUGCAGGAAAGGAAUGUUACUCUUUGCUCUCUCUUAGCUCUUUGGUUGUCCAUAGCUGCUUUUAUAUGUACCAAUCCUGGGUACUCUGAAUUUCUGCUUAUGGCCCUCUGAGACCUAUCUUUUAAGCUGGAGGGAAAGCUAAGACAUGCUUGGGUUUUUUUGUUUUGUUUUGUUUUUUGUUUUGUUUUGUUUUGUUUUGUUUGUUUUGUUUUGUUUUGUUUUUUGGGGGGGGUUGUUUGUUUGUUUGUUUUGCCAACUUUGGUAUGCUGCUGUCAUUCCCUGCUUUACCUCUGCAGAUUCCUGCCUGGGGCAGAACAGACUUACAUACAGCCCUUUUCUCAUAGGCUGGUGUAAGGGACACAUCAAGUUGUACCAUCAUCUAGAUUGCUCCAAGCCAGAGGAUGGUGUAGCUGCGAUGCACUACAGCUCAUCCCGGGUGCUGGGAAAAGGGCUGAUAUUUGGUUACACUGAGCACUUCUCUGUGGACAGGACAGGAAAAUGCUGACAUCAUCUGCCAAGAAAGCCUCAAAAGGGUCUCGUACUCAUAUCCUUCUGCAGGAACGUACUGCAUGGCAUGUAAUCUGUGGGUACUCAUAGUCUCCAAGGGGACACCUGAUUAUAUUAAAGGUGGAUGACACACCAGACAUAUGCUUCCUUACUCAACGUGAGGCUAGAGAAGAGUCUUCCAGCCCCAGUGCACCAUCUUUUUAGAAAUUUACUCUUUAGCUUGCCACAUAGAUACCAUAAUCAGUCACUGUAACUUUAGAAGAGAAAACAACACUGGAGGCUUGGAGUCAUCAAACUUCGUGCUGAUGAAUCAUCAGGCUGCAGGCUUCUGAUAUAAAAAAAAAAUUAAAGAAGCCCUACACUGCUUGGGCUUGAGGAAAAUGAGUGAAGUUUUGUGACACAGGUCGUGAUCCACACCGUGCUGCCUCCGGGCUGACUGAUUGCAUAAGGAGAGCUGAACUUACUCAGAUCGGAACAGGAACAAAGACUGUACAAGGAUCAGAGGUGCCUGCUGACCACCACCGUGGUCACUGUAUCCUUUCUGGCCCCCAACUCCUGGCACAACUGAGGAAGGGCACCAAAGAGCAUAGGAAGGUACGGUGGAGGGUGGUGUUUCAACCCCCAGUUCUGGAUGGCCCCACCACGGGACAUGCAGCAACAUAGCCAUCAAAAAUGUACUGGGAAAACUAGUAAGGGUAGCUCUCUAUCACACAGCGUCACAUGCAAAAAGAAUGAAUUAAAGCAAAUAUAUAAAGACCGGAGUUUCAUUAAAUAUCCAGUAGCUGCGAAGAUAAGAGUUUGUUAGACAGAGGGCAGUCUGGAUAGUUUAGUACCAAGGACCUCAUGCAGUCAUUUCCCAGAACACAAGGGGUUUGCUGUCUCAUCACUCAGCACAGUUUUUACUGAUUUUAAGGCCGAAAACAUCUUAGCCCAGAUUUUAUGUGAGGUUUGUAUCUUCUUGGGAGCAAGGGAAGGAAGUACAUAACACCCUCUGGUCUCUUCAAGUACAGAACUGUUUAUACAAAAGCUAAUUCUGACGUGAUGGAAAGGUCCCAUGUGCUCUCAGCAACGUGUGUUAGGAUCCAGAACUACCUCAUCCUGUGACAGUCCCUCCCCAAACCCGUCCCAGUAACACUCCACAACCCUGAUCACACUCACUCCUAACAAGUGGACUGGCAGCAAUGGAUGGUUACCUGGGUCACCUCCAUUGGGGCAGUCCCUUCAAGGUGCAGAGGACCUAUUUCAAUUUUGGUGUGGUUUGCUUGUCCUGGGGUCACCAGGAUUGCAGAAUUAGCCCUUGACACUCUACAGAGGUCUUUGCACACCAGUGAGACAAAAUUCAGCAAAGAGUCAGUUGGGGUCUGAUGUGCUUGCCAUGGUGCAGAAGAAGGAUCCUGGUUAGACUCAUUUUAGGUAACAGCUCCUCAAAAAUGUGGUGAAUCUGGUAAAGUCUUGUUCAACACGAGUCUGAGUUGCAACAGGAAAACUGCAAAUGCUUUCGCCCCUUGCUUUUGUUUAAUUCUAAAAAUGCCUUUGGGUGACUGAGAAGUGGUGUAUGCUUUCUUGCUCUUCACUGUUGCGAAGAAUGAGAAUAACGUUCAUCGAAUGGAAGUAAGCAAGCACAGAUAUGGUAGGGACUUGGACUGCCACAUUCCUUCAAUGCUUUUUGAAUGUCUAAAGGAGUGAAGCAUGUGCAUCUACCUCCAUGUGAAAUUUGGCAAAUUGUCAGAAAACGUUUCUUGUGCCUACUGUAUGAGUUUCAAUCCACCACACCCAGAAACCUCUCAAGACUGGUAGGUCUUGAGUGCAGACGUGGAUGUUCCCUCCCAUAUAACACUCCUCCACUCCCUCCUUCCUUCACUAAAAGAUCUACCACCGCUGUCUCUUGGGUAUCAACCUAAGUUUUCUGCUCCAUGUCUGCAGCUAUGGUUUUAAUCACAUCUUUCUUGUUAGUUCAAGAAAAUGUCACUGUUGCUUCCCAACCCCUCAGUUUUAUGAGUGCACGAGUAUGUUUGUUGCACAGAGCCUUACAAGUGAUGGGAUUUAAAUGGAAGCAUUUUACCCAGCCAGAGCAGAACGUACCUCUUUUUGACUGCACACAUAUCACUGCCUUAAAAAUGCAAUACUUCAUGUAAUUUUGAUUCUGUCAGUAAAGUCUCCAUGGAAAAUGUCAUCUGGGCUUGGCUGUGAUAUAUUGAUUAAAAAUGUCCAGUGUAAAGAGGCAAGGAAAACAAAGCAAGAAAAACUCAAGUCUCUGAAUGAAAGCUUGUAUUCUCAAGAGGAAAUGAGCACUGUGUGGAAUGCAAACAUUUUCAGCUUGUGGGAGAUAGAUACUGUGUAUCAACAAAUCCAAAAUAUUUCUGGAUUACCUGAUCUUAACAAUUCAAUUUUUAGUAGGUAUAGUCAGAUGCCCACAGUCUGAAAUGACAAGAGUAAAAACAGAUCACUCACCUCAAGCUUUCUAUUACCAGUUCUUUGCUGCCGUCCCCAAGCAGGUUAAGCUAUGCCAAUGGUAAAAUGACUUACAGAAUUUCCCUGGUGCAGGCAGGCUUGAAGAAGAAAAGAAUCUAUUGCGAUUCAUGUAAGUGAAAAACUCAUGACAUUAAGUUGCUCCCCGGAGCCAUUGCUAAAUGAAUAAUGCAUAAGCAGUGUCAGUGACCCUCCCUUCCCUUAACUCAAGCACAAGAAAAAACCACCAGCAGUGGAAGGUGUCAUUCAGCCUGGUGUGAAACUACCCAACAGGAUGAGUCCUGGGCCGAAAGAGGUAUCUGCUGCUUCUUUAUAUGCGGAUUACUUUCCCCAUGACCACUCACUCCCCUCUAAAUUUUUUCUGCUCUGCGGAUUUACACACUGAAAAUAUGCAAAAGGGAAGGAGUAUAAACUCUCCCUUCGUGGUAUCACUGGCUUGCAUAUUGCAGCUCAGCAGUCAUGGACAGCAUCCAGCACUAACGCUCAAAGAGAGCUGCCGUAUUUAUGACAUAUCCAGCCUUGCAAGAGCAUGAAGGCUGGCGAGCGGUGAUUGAAGCAG
ensembl:lncRNA